UCUUUUGCUUAGGCUUCCUGGCUGCCCAAAGGAAAGGCCUGUUGGAAAGAAGGAAAUGAUUCAGCGAUCUAAGUGGAUUUAUGAACAGCUUCCAGAAGUACAGAAAAAGAGAGAAGAGGAAAAGAGGAGAUCGGAAUAUAAGUCAUACCGGCUGCGAGCCCAGCUAUAUAAAAAGAAAGUGACCAAUCAACUCUUGGGGAGAAAGGUUCCUUGGAACUGACAUAAGAGUAUUUUCCUCAGAGCCUUGGAAUUAUCUCUUAUCGGCCUGAAGGAGCACAAUCCUUACUUUCAUGAGUCUGGUUUAAUAAAACCUACCUUGCUGCCCAUGUGUAAUUUAGAAGUAGUAACCUUCUAAAGAGUCUUGGGUAGAAUGAUGACUGAGAUUAUUAAUGGUUUAGGAGCAAUACUUUCUCCACAGUGGCCUUGCCCACAGGGAUGUUUGUUACAAUGGUAUUAUCUUAAUUCU